rnacentral:rRNA from 1 species
GGCGACGAUGCGUAGGGGUUCUGAGAGGAAGGCCCCCCACACUGGGACUGAGACACGGCCCAGACUCCUACGGGAGGCAGCAGUGAGGAAUAUUGGUCAAUGGGCGGAAGCCUGAACCAGCCAAGUCGCGUGAGGGAUUAAGGCCCUGCGGGUCGUAAACCUCUUUUGCCGGGGAGCAGUGGUCCGGACGCGUCCGGACCGGGAGAGUACCCGGAGAAAAAGCAUCGGCUAACUCCGUGCCAGCAGCCGCGGUAAUACGGAGGAUGCGAGCGUUAUCCGGAUUUAUUGGGUUUAAAGGGUGCGUAGGCGGGCAUUUAAGCCGGCGGUCAAAUGUCGGGGCUCAACCCCGGCCUGCCGUCGGAACUGGGUGCCUUGAGUGGGCGAGAAGUAUGCGGAAUGCGUGGUGUAGCGGUGAAAUGCAUAGAUAUCACGCAGAACCCCGAUUGCGAAGGCAGCAUACCGGCGCCCUACUGACGCUGAGGCACGAAAGUGCGGGUAUCGAACAGGAUUAGAUACCCUGGUAGUCCGCACAGUAAACGAUGGAUGCUAUCUGUCCGGGCCGAAUGAGGCCUGG